rnacentral:rRNA from 1 species
CUGAGAGGAUGACCAGCCACACUGGAACUGAGACACGGUCCAGACUCCUACGGGAGGCAGCAGUGGGGAAUAUUGCACAAUGGGCGCAAGCCUGAUGCAGCCAUGCCGCGUGUAUGAAGAAGGCCUUCGGGUUGUAAAGUACUUUCAGCGGGGAGGAAGGGAGUAAAGUUAAUACCUUUGCUCAUUGACGUUACCCGCAGAAGAAGCACCGGCUAACUCCGUGCCAGCAGCCGCGGUAAUACGGAGGGUGCAAGCGUUAAUCGGAAUUACUGGGCGUAAAGCGCACGCAGGCGGUUUGUUAAGUCAGAUGUGAAAUCCCCGGGCUCAACCUGGGAACUGCAUCUGAUACUGGCAAGCUUGAGUCUCGUAGAGGGGGGUAGAAUUCCAGGUGUAGCGGUGAAAUGCGUAGAGAUCUGGAGGAAUACCGGUGGCGAAGGCGGCCCCCUGGACGAAGACUGACG